rnacentral:sRNA from 2 species
UUGCAUUUGAAGCCCAUGAGGAUGAGAACCUCCGGGGGCGGGGAGGUUCGACUCGAGCGAAGCGAGAGAACGUUGCGCCAGCAACGGCCCGCAGGGCGAGCCACGAAGUGGCG